CACGUAGGGGGCAAGCGUUGUCCGGAUUUAUUGGGCGUAAAGAGCUCGUAGGCGGUGUGUCACGUCGGCCGUGAAAACCUGCAGCUUAACUGUGGGCGUGCGGUCGAUACGGGCAUCACUGGAGUUCGGCAGGGGAGACUGGAAUUCCUGGUGUAGCGGUGAAAUGCGCAGAUAUACAGGGAGGAACACCGGUGGCGAAGGCGGGUCUCUGGGCCGAUACUGACGUGGAGGAGCGAAAGCGUGGGGAGCAAACAGG
rnacentral:rRNA from 1 species